CCAAGUUCUGCCUCCUCCACCCCACCCCUCUUCUUCGCAAACAAAUCUUGGACGGCCGAAUUCGUCUUUUGGACUAUAGAACUUUGGAGUUAGCAGCCAACGUUGGCUGAAUGCGCAAAUUCUUUGGCAUCCUCUCUCGGUAUCCUCCUUUAUACAAGAAAUGUGUUUUCGCUGGAAGAUUUUGUUAGUUUUACUCAUAUGCAGUUGCAAAGAUUUCGUAUCUUUGUAUUUUCUGGUCAAUAUUAUAUGAUAUAUGGCUCAAAUGUCCACUGACUUACAUAUUUAACAUCUGCACAUGGAUGCAAAUUCAUUUGAUAUAACUCAGAUUUAGCUGGCAGCAUCAUGGAGUACUAAUGUAUCUCGCUAUAUUUUGAAAAGAAUACGUGGAAGUCAGUUGAGAUGGAGAAGCAUGGAGAUGACUCAUAUUUUUUCACCCACUAAAUAAAAUCAGUUUAAACGUGCUUUGUUGAUUGUUUUCUUCCUCUGGAUGUUAUUUGUCUAUAGGUCACAUACUGUAGAAGAUAAAAAUAACCUUUUAGGUAAUUUCUCCUUCUACUGAUAAUUAAAGUUAUUAGUUUUGUGGUGGUGAUCAUAAUCACUUAAUAAACAAAAUGCAUGCCUCUUAAAUUAUUGUUGUUGUCAACAUGAGCACUUUUUUUUUCUGUGUACUUAUCUGCAGAUGUUGAGUUGUGACCCCGACUGCUUAGGCUUAAGUGGAAGGUUUUUACGCCGUCGUUGGCAAGGUUUCAGUGAUUGACUAGGUGUGUUGCAGGUGUGCUCCUAUCCUGUCCACCUUGCUUCUAUUUUUUUAGUAAUUCGUAGAUAUCAUAGGUUAUUCCCGAGUGCUUCACUGAAUAGCUCCUCUGUUUGACACCCUCAAAAGAAUCCUGUUGCAGAGUAAUAUUUAUUUUCUGUGUCUUUGCAUAAGAAUUGGAUUAUUUCUUUCUAUUUCUAGAUUUAUUAGUUGAGUGGUGUGGCUGAAUAGACCCUUCUGGAUAGCUGGCCAUUCAAGCUUCAUGGCGCUUUCUAGAAUCUUGUUGCAGAGUAAUAUUUAUUUUCUGUGUCUUUGCAUAAGAAUUGGAUUAUUUCUUUCUAUUUCUAGAUUUAUUAGUUGAGUGGUGUGGCUGAAUAGACCCUUCUGGAUAGCUGGCCAUUCAAGCUUCAUGGCGCUUUCUUGGCUUUCUCUUUAUAUGUGAUGGUCCAUUUUUAGUUGAGCCAUAUGUCAUUCUUGUGGUCCAAUUGCAUGUUACACAAUGAACACUCCGAGUAUGAAGGCUAAACGGGGUAUCCCAUAUUUUUCAGAUAAUUGAUCACGUCGUUGUGCAUGUGCUUCAUUGGAGCUGUGGUUUCCAAAUUAAAUCAUACAUUCAGGCAUUGCCUUCCAAUUUCCUAGCAUUAUCUGUCCAGUUAGCGUCCACCUAUUUUGCACUUGGUGAAAAUCACAUAGAUAAAAGUUGGUUUAUGCACCUACUACUUUUGUAUAUUCCGCAGUUGGUUAGCUCAAGGAAAUAUGGCUUAGUUAAGGUUCCCGCUUUUGAUUUAUUUUGUGUUCCAGUAGCCCCAUUUAAUCCAUGUAAGGUAAGCAGGUAUGUAUAUGUAGUUUUGCAGCCAAAGAACAUGUGAGCCUAUUGCAAAAAUAGAUCUGGCCGUACCAACUUGAGAAAGAAACUGGUGCAUGUACAACACAAAUUUGACAAAUAGGUGGCUUGCUGAGUUCCAGUUAGCUAUUUUGAAUAUUAUUUUCGUGCUCGGAUUCAGUUUUGUAGAUUGAGUUAGAUUUACAGUAUGCAACAUGUAAGUUUUUCCUACAGGUACUCUCCUUUAUUUUGGAGCAGUCAUCUCCAUUCCAUGUUGUCAUUUUGAACAAAUUUUUAUCCAUCUUGCACAAAUAAUGUCCUUACAUUGUUUUGCUUACAACUCACUAUUAAGCUUUGGGACCAGGACAUAUGUUCUAUAGUUACUGCCUGCCAUUGUUUACAGGAAAUAUCAGUUUGUCAUCUCUUUCUACCCAAAUGCAGGAGAUACUGGACUAUUGGAUUUUUAUAAUGAUUCUUCCCCAACCACUGUACUUAGCUGGUGUUCUUUUAGUUUCUAGCUGCAUUUGAAAGUAAGAAACUGAUAGAACAAUGCAACCAUUUUAAGUUUUAGUUUACACUGUAAUUGGAAAAAGGGGAGAUUCUAGGAUCCUGGGUGAUGAAAUAAUGCUGUAGUUAUCAAGGUUGGUUUUUUACUCCAGAUUGCUACUUCUAAAUAUAUUUGAUCACCAAUACGGUUGUACAUACAGGUCUACGGAACGAUCCCCAAGGAAUUUAUCCAUGCUUAAUCAAUACCCUAGCUAUUUCCUUUACAUAUGCAUUCUAGAGUAUCUAUUUUUAUUUGUUUACUCAUCUUUUAUAUUGAUACGUUAGCCCUUUAUGCUGCACAAGGAUAUAACUAUGUCAAUUGGGAGGUGUAUAUAUCUUAUUGUAUUCGGAUUCCAUUUAAUGAAAAUCACCAUGAGACCAGCUACUCUGUUUCUCCGCAGGUUCUCCACUCCUCAUCAAACUCUUUGUUGUGCUGAUCAAACUUAGUUAUACUAGCAAGCAACAGCCUCAGUUUUGGUUAUCCCUAAUUGAAAGGUACGAUUUGGUUCAGGGUUAGGGCGAGGAGGGGAUGCAUUGCCUAUCCCAUUUGAACCGUUGACCUGGAAGGCUGGCGACCCUGAAUAUCAAAAGCGAACCAACAUGGUAGUGAAGUGAUUGCAGACUGCACAUGUAGCAGCUUAUGCCUUGCUUGGUACCAAUGACGCUAGGUAUCUUCUCCAUCUCAAGUACUCCAUCCCAAUAUGGAUUGUUGCCUGCUAUUUCUUCAUGAUGACCAAAGGUAGACAGUAGAAUAACUGUGUUUAUUUUGCAGUUUAUCCUUUUUACCUCUUGGUUCGCAACUUUACUACAGGAAAAAUGCCAUUUUCUUCGCAUUGUACAUAACAAGAUCUUCCCCUCUGACCUCAGGCUAACUGUUGACCUGCUGCUCCCGGGCAGUUUUAUCUAGCUGUGGCAUGCCAUGACAUAUCCACAGCUGCUAACAGUUUGUGUUUACUUAGUUCAGUAGCUUAUUUGAUGUUUAUAUUAUGGAGUACGCCUGCUGUUUUCUCUGUCAGCAAAUCGUAUUGAGUAAUAA